UACACUUUAAACAACAAGAAGUCUCUGAAAGGUAUGUUAUGGUUCCAUGGAAGAAUAUUGAAUGAAGGGACCUUAAAUUGUUCAAUUUGUUCAUUCAGGAGGCUUUGUUUUGUUCACGCAGAAAACUGUUGGUGAGGGCAUAUGAUCUAUGAAUUGUGACUUUUGAUUACACUUCUUUGGCGAUUUCAUCUGCGUUUUAUGAAUCAAUUUGGAAAAGAUCAAGUGAUGAUCUUGAUCAGCUCUGGCGUAUUCACUGCAGCUAUAUAUACAUAUGACAAUCUAGGAGAUGAGGCAAGUCGAUUAUUGCCUUGAUCUGUCGGCUAUUGCUCGAUCUUAGGAUUAAAUCUAAAUUUGUGGGAAUCUCAUAACAGCUUCCAUCGAUCGAGGAUUAAAUCCAAUGAGCUAGGAUUAGAGGACAUUGGCCAUUAGCAGCACUCCGUCUAAUUUCUUCAUAGUUGUGCCAUAGGCUAAUCACACCUACAAUGGAUCAAAUACUUGGGGAGAAAUAAAAAAAAAAAAAAUAAUCUGGGACAUUAUGGAUAUGGCAGUGUUGAUUGUACAGUCUGCAUUUCUUUUCUUGCUUUCUUUGUUUUUUAUUCAACUUUCAUAUUGGUUGUUCAACGACAUCUAUAAAGGCAAAAGGGGUGGAGAAAAAGAAAGAAAAAAAACAACA